AAUUUCUGGAAUGUGGAAGUACUAGGAUUCUGUAAUGAAAUGUCAGAUGGAGGCUGAAGAAGAGUGGGUGGAGACAAGCCAAAAACUCGCCAAAAGACUGUUUACCAAGAGCUGCAAGCAAAGAAUGGAAAUUUCCAAUUGCAGCGUCAAGGGCUGCUGUUCUGCUGACUGUCUUGCUCAGCCGGGGUCAUCUGCUUCUCUAAGACAUCAAGGAAUGCCAAGGGAAGAAGAAUGAAAUGGAAGCACUCGUUCGUCUCCCUCUGCUCCAUCUCCCUCUGAGCAUUACAGCAGUGACUGACCUGUGGAUCUGAUGUGAAUUGUAAUGUGGGAUCAUAGAAAUGAAAGUAACCUCUGAAGUAGUUUCAUCUACCUUCCGUCUUUGGCAAGUAAGCCCCAAACUGUUACAAAGAGUUAGUAUUUCAGAAACUUUCCCCUAGGCAAUUUUCCCCAAAUCCAACCUACAUUCUACCUUACAGGAUGGCAGGAACAAUUUUUCUUGUGCGCUACAGUGGAGACGUGAAAACAGCUUUUUGCCGUAGCUAAUCAUCAUAACCAUUUCUGCAUCACAUGGGUUAUAUUUCUGGACUAUGGGGAGACAGCCUAGAAUAAUGGGUAAGAAUUCAGGCUUAGAGACAGACAGAUUUGUGCUUAAGCCACAGCUGUAUGAUCACAGGCAAUUUACUUAAGUUUCUCUAAGCCUCAAUUUCCUCACCCAUAAUGUAGGGAUGAUAAUACAGUCCAGCUGAUCAAAUUACUGUGAAGAAUAGUCUAGAAUAAGUGCUAGAAUAAGUCCAAUAGAAAUAUAAUGCAAGCCACAAAUGUGAGUCACGUAUGUAAUGUAAAAUUUUCUCAUAGCCCCAUUAAGAAACAAAAAGAAACAGGUGAAAUUAAUUUUAGUAAUAUAUGUUACUCAACAUAUCCAAAACAUCAUUUCAACACGUAAAAAAUAUUAGUGAGAUAUUUUAUGUUCUCUUUUUUGUACUAAGUCAUCAAAAUCCAAUGUGUAUUUUACACAUAUGGUUUGUCUCAACUCAAACUAACAACAUUUAAGCACUUAAUAAGCCACCUGUGGCCAGUGGUUACUGUAGUGGAGAGUCCAGGUUUUGACAAAAGCUAUAAAGCAUUUAGCAUUAUGCUAGGUGUGUAGUGAAUGCUAGAAGGUUGGGGCUGCUAUUAUUUUUCUUAAUAUUAUUCUUAGAGAACUCUGUAAUCUUCUCAAAGCCUUCACUUCUCCAGACUGACCCUAGCUAUGAUGCUCUUAGGAGUACCUGGGGAGACUGGGUUACUCAAGCCAAGCACUUCAGUUACUUCAAAGGCAACUUCUUCAUGGCCAAUCCCCAUCUAUCAUAUGGAGAGGGUCACAAAAAGUGGCAUCUGCAUGGAGAAUGACCUUCAAUACUGACACAUUAAACCCCAAGACGUAGGCACCACCACUAAUCUGCUACCUUCUCAUACAAAUAGUACAGGAUAGGACAUCUGCUAAAGCAACCACUUGUUCCUAUGAUUUUCCCCUUGUAAGUAGUGAGGUGCUAUGCAAUACAUUGUACUCAAAAGUCGAUUUGCUAAGUUAAAUAUACAGUUAGAAUAUGAUCCAGCAAUUUCACUGGUAUAACCAAGAAAAUUAUAAGACUUAUGUUUGCACAAAAACUUGUAAACAAAUGUACACAGCAGCAUUAUUCAUAAUGGCCAAGAAGUGGAAACAACCCAGAUGUCCAUCAACUGAUGAAUGGAUAAACAAAAUGUGAUAAAUCCAUACAAUGGAAUAUUAUUCAGUAAUGAAAAGAAAUGAAGUACUGCUUCAUGCUACAGCAUGGACAAACCUUGAAACCACGUUGCUCAGUGAAAGAAGUCAGACACAAAGGGCCACAUAUUGUGUGAUUCCAUUUAUAUGAAAUAUCCACCAUGGGCAAAUCCAUAGAGAGAAAAAAAAGAUUCUUGGUUUCCAAGGGCUAGGGAGAGGGGAGAAUUGAGAGUGACUGCUAACAGGUAUAGUUUCUGUCCAGAGUGAUGGAAAUAUUUUGGAAUCAGAUAAUGGCAAUGGUUGUACAUCACUGUGAAUAUACUAAAAACCACUGAAUUGCUAAAAAAAGAAAGUUGAUUUGUUGUCCAAGGGAAGCAUGGUCAGAUACACAGUACUGCCAGAGCCCCAGAAUAGAGAAGUAUUUGUAAGACUUUAAAAAUAGAAGAGAUCACCCAUGCCCAAAAUAUUAUUUGAUAGGAUAACAUUUUUAACUACAGCAUGCAUAAUAUCAAGUCUUUCUCUCCUUUUCAUAAAUGAAAAUUGUUUUACAUUUUAACAUUAAGCAUAUUAACUACUAAGAGGGCACAAACUUCAAGGACACACACAUAUACAUAAACAUAAAUGCAUGUAAAUUGUCAGAACCUUCUGAAAGACUGUACCUGUCAUUCCUUUGUUUAGGGCUCUCCCACCACUCCCAUCUCACCCUCAGGAUGACCCCACACCCCCCAGUGCCACCUGCCUACUGUGUGGCAGCAGAGUACAACAGUUAAGGCAUGGGCCAGACACAGCCAGACAGCCCCAGUUAAAGUCUACGUCUCACUGCUCACUAGCUCUGUGACUUUGAGCACCCUUCCUAAGUUUUCUGUGGCUCAGUUUCCCUUUACAACAGGGAUGAUAAGAGUGCCCAGGCUUGUUGCAAGGAUUAACAGAAUUAACAUAUAAAGUACUUACAAUAAUGCCUGGCCUGUAUACUACUCAAAGCAAUCUACAGAUUUAAUGUGAUCCUUAUCUAAUUACCCAGGACCUUUCUUCUCAGAACUAGAAAAAAUAAUUCUAAAAUUUAUAUGGAAUCAAAAAAGACCCAGAAUUGCCAAAGCAAUACUGAGGAAAAACAACAAAGCUAGAGGCAUAACCCUCCCAGACUUAAGACACGCUACAAAGCUACUGUAACCACAACAGCACAGUAUUGGCACAAAACAGACAAAAUGGCACAAAAUGGAUCAAUGAAACAGAAAAGAGAGCUCAGAAAGAAACUGACACACCCACGGUCAAUUAAUCUUCAACAAAGGAGGCAAAACUAUACAAUGAAGAAAAAGUCUUUCUGACAAGUGGUAUCGGGAAAGCUGGAUAGCCAAAUGUAAAUCAAUGAAAUUAGAAUGCUCCCUCACACCAUACACAAAAAUAAACUCAGAAUGGCUUAAGACUUAAACAUAAGACAAGACACUAUAAACCUCCUAG